rnacentral:tRNA from 1 species
AAAAGUAAAGCAUAAAAUUAGAUGCGACUCGUUUACACUGAGUGGACCUAUCGGCAGAGAUAGUACUUUUA